GAUGAACGCUGGCGGCGUGCCUAAUACAUGCAAGUCGAGCGAACAGACGAGGAGCUUGCUCCUCUGACGUUAGCGGCGGACGGGUGAGUAACACGUGGAUAACCUACCUAUAAGACUGGGAUAACUUCGGGAAACCGGAGCUAAUACCGGAUAACAUGUUGAACCGCAUGGUUCAACAGUGAAAGACGGUCUUGCUGUCACUUAUAGAUGGAUCCGCGCCGCAUUAGCUAGUUGGUGAGGUAACGGCUUACCAAGGCAACGAUGCGUAGCCGACCUGAGAGGGGGAUCGGCCACACUGGAACUGAGACACGGUCCAGACUCCUACGGGAGGCAGCAGUAGGGAAUCUUCCGCAAUGGGCGAAAGCCUGACGGAGCAACGCCGCGUGAGUGAAGAAGGUCUUCGGAUCGUAAAACUCUGUUAUUAGGGAAGAACAAAUGUGUAAGUAACUAUGCACGUCUUGACGGUACCUAAUCAGAAAGCCACGGCUAACUACGUG
rnacentral:rRNA from 1 species